UUGACCUCAAAUCAGGUAGGACUACCCGCUGAACUUAAGCAUAUCAAUAAGCGGAGGAAAAGAAACUAACAAGGAUUCCCUUAGUAACUGCGAGUGAAGAGGGAAAAGCUCAAAUUUAAAAUCUGGCAGUGUCUCACUGUCCGAGU
rnacentral:rRNA from 1 species